AACCUUUAGACAUGCAAAUAUUAAAGGCAACGCCUGCCCAGUGAACAAUUAAACGGCCGCGGUACCCUAACCGUGCAAAGGUAGCGUAAUCAUUUGUCUACUAAUUAUAGACCAGUAUGAAAGGCAAAAUGAGGGUCCAACUGUCUCUUAUAAUAAAUCUAUAAAACUGAUCUUCUAGUAAAAAAGCUGGAAUACUCCCAUAAGACCAGAAGACCCUGUGAAGCUUAAACUAAACUAUUAACACAAAUAAUAGCUAAUUUCGGUUGGGGCGACCUUGGAAAAAAAAAGAACUUCCAAACAACAUGAUUAUUCAUCAUACAUACCCAGGCCCACAAGCCAAUAAAAGACCCAGCAUAGCUGAAAACUGAACCAAGUUACUCCAGGGAUAACAGCGCAAUCUUCUUCAAGAGCCCAUAUCAAAAAGAAGGUUUACGACCUCGAUGUUGGAUCAGGACAUCCUAAUGGUGCAGCCGCUAUUAAGGGUUCGUUUGUUCAACGAUUAAAGUCCU
rnacentral:rRNA from 1 species